UGAAGGAACUAUAUAAUAGAUAGAUAGAUAGAUAGAUAGAUAGAUAGAUAGAUAGAUAGAUAGAUAGAUAGAUGUGAAGGAAUUAUAUCACAUGAUAGAUAAAUGUGAAGUACAUUAUAAAUUAAUAAAUGUAAAAAAUGAUAUAGCAAGAAAGAAAGAAAGAAAGAAAGAAAGAAAGAAAGAAAGAAAGAAAGAAAGAAAGAAAGAAAGAAAAUAUGAUGCUGAUUUGAUUAGCUUGGGAUCCUUUAUUAUAAUUUCUUUUUUAGCAGUCCCAAUAAUAACCCUAGUGAUACAUGUCAUUACAUGGCCAUGGAGGGCACUAUAUAAUUAAUGCGAAAAGCACAAUAAAAUGCAAAUAUUGUACAUAUAGUGCAUGCAGGAUAUGAAAGGCACUAUUUAAAAUAGAUAGAUAUGAAAUACACCAUAUGAAUUAAGUUUAUGGAUAUAAAAAGUAAUGUGUGAAUAUAGAUUGAGAGGAAACACACUAUAGAUAAGAGAGAAAUAGAAAAGCAGUUAUCAGUAACACACUUUAACAGAGUAAUAAUAAAGAUGCUAAAAGGUAAUAAAUCAUAAACAGAUAUUAUGACACUAUAUAAUAGAAAUAGAAAUAAACAUAUAAAAGGGUCUCCAUAAUAGGAAAUGUGCUGUAUAAGAUAAACAGGCAUAAAAGGCACUAUAUUAGAAAAAAGAUAGACGUGAAAGGCUGUAUAUAACAGACAGAAUAAUAGAAAUUUGUAAAAUGAUAGAUAGAUAGAUAGAUAGAUAGAUAGAUAGAUAGAUAGAUAGAUAGAUAGAUAGAUAGAUAGAUAGAUAGAUAGAUAGAUAGAUAGAUAGAUAGAUAGAUUUUAAUUAUCCAAAAGGACUGGCCAUUGAUGUUAAAGAGACCUGCUGCUGUCACGGCAGACGCGCACAUUUAGCACAUUUUCCAGUUUGAAGUACCACACAGUCUGUGUGUCUCGUUCAGAUUUGUAAAAAUGUAUUCCGAUAUCCGACAGCUUAGCAAACUAAUAACCUUGAAAGUGUGUGAACUCUUAAGUAUUAGGCCCCUACAAGCGUAGUUCUUUUCAUAUAUGUGUUUUAUAUACUAGUGCAGUGUACGUUGGAGAAUUAAAAUUAAAUUAAAUGCCCGCCUCUUUUCCUAAAACUGCCUUCCCCGGUGCAGCUCACGCUGAGUGGCCCGAGACUCGAGCACUCCUGGUCGGCGUGAGGCUUCUGUUAAGGUCGCUCGUGUACAUCUGCUGAUCAAACCAAACGACGUUUUUCCAAAAGACUCCACUCGAAGACGGGCAGUUAUGUCUCAUGUCCUCAUAUUUUAACUAAGCAAACCUUACGUGACGUGUAGGCUCUCCGUUUAUUCGUUAACAGUUUAAAUAGAAAUCUUGAAAUGUGCUUUGAACGUUACUUCCUUGUUCAUUCUAUAUAUUUACAACUGUGAGAGAGAAAGAUGAGUACUUCUGUGAGUAGCAGAAAUAAAUAUUUCUAUCCAAAUUUUAAAUUAAAUUGUAGGGACGUUUAAGCAGAUCUUGUGAACACAGCGGCUCGUUUUGUUUUCUUUAAGUUGGAAUGCGAGGCUCAUUCCGUUGGACGAGCAGGAGUCGCUCAAUGGCGAAACUGAUGAGGUUUCAUUUCGGACAUAUUGAUAGAGAGCAUCAGAAUAUUAACAUAAAAAGAAUUGGGUGUGUAACACCGAGACACCCAAAACUCGUAUUAUUUGACACUUUACUGUGUCAGCACAAGAGGAGCGACGCGGCGUACGUCCAAUGGAAAGCGUCACGGAUGUGCGCGUCGAUGAUUAUUAGUUGUAUUUGUAUCCAUACAGUCAUUCUCACGGGCCGUUUUUUAUUUUUAUUUUCUGGAUACAGGGCUAUGUAUUAUUAUUAUUAUUGUUAUUAUUAUUAUUAUUGUUGUUGUUGUUGUUGUUGUUGUUGUUGUUGUUGUUGUUCUCGUUACGGCACCUUCUGUUGAAAAUUGCACUGCCGGAGCCCGAGCGCACUCUUCAGCUAUUUGUUAUAAUUAUGGAAUAUGAGCGCCUACUUUGUUACCUACUUUUAAUUAAAUCUCUCGACACUUCAGCUUUGGUGGUUCGCCAACAAUACCCCCUCCCCCAGGCCUGCACACACACACUCACACUCACACACACACACACACACACGGUCCCCCCCUCUUUAUUAUUUUAAUUUGUAAAGAAAAGUAAAUUAACGAAAAGGGAAGUGCGCUUUCGACCAGUAAUUUCUGUUGCGGGCGGGACGAGCCCUCCAGCAUCAAAACAGAAGAGAGCGCGAUGUCGGUACCUGCGGUGACCACGCCUCGUACUUGAAGGUAGAGAGUCUGCAAAAUGUCAGCUGUUUGUAGUGGUGACCUUUUAAGCAGGAACAGAAAGAGCCAAUAGAAGACGCUCGUGUCGCUUUAAGGUGAUGCCAUUUUGUCCAGCCCAGGGGGCUUUGUCAUUCUACCCGAAUGCUACCACCCAAUGUCUGGAAGCGGCGUGGUGUGACGUGACAUCAUUGCUGUUAAAGGGAUUUAAGACCUUUGGAAGACCCCGCCUUAUCUCUUUUUCUGGACCCAUCAACCUGCUAUCCAAGGAUGUCACUUCCUCUUCUGGUCCCACAGAGCCCUCCUCUUCCUGUCACCUGAUUAUAUAACCACCUCAUAUUCAGAUGUGACCUCAAUUCUGUUUUCAACACAAAUCUUUAAAGACCUUUGCAUUAAUUCAACCUGAUUUUCAAGCAAGAUUUUCUGCUUCUUAUUUUACAGUGGCGUAGUCGGCAGGAUUAUUGUUCAAAAGAUGACCGAAGAACAAGACCUAAAUACUAAUCUAACUAACAUGGCCACAGAGCUUCAAAGACUCAGCUGGGAGAGACGUCGACACAAUUGGCAGAGAAGCACAAUUAUCCGUGCCCUUAAACUGUCAGCCGUGCAUGAUAUUUGUGUUUAAUAGACUUUCACGGCUCUAGUUAACUUGGUUAAAAGAAUUAUUAACCAAGAUUGUUAAUUUGCAUUUUAGGAUUUAGGACUCCAGUUUGACCAUUGGCCAUUCCCCGUUUUGACUCUGUGUUUGCUCUCUUUCCAUUUUCCAAUCACUUUGUUUUAGAUUGUGGGCACAUUGUUGCUGCCAACAGCAGCCCAUUGCUACCACUUGGUAUGAGAAGUGUUAAGCAGUGUCCGAGGUAGGCUUCGAUCCCUAAUUUAGGGACAUGUUUUCAAUUUAGUGGUGAAUGUUUUAUCAUUUAUUUCUAUGUGUUUUGGGUGCAUCCACAUAUAAUGUGAGGAGUUCCUAUUGUAAUUGCCAUGUCUGUCUGUCUGUCUGUCUGUCUGUCUGUCUGCCUGCCUGCCUGCCUGCCUGCUUUAAACAACUCGGCCCCCUGUGAUGCGAUUUUAUUAGAAGGUGGCACACUCUUUAUUCACAGAAUUUUGUCUACAAAGUUCAGUUUUCUUUCAGAAAUUUCUUGAAUAGAGUACGCUGUAAAAAGUUUUGAAAUUUCAAUAUUUCCCAUUGUAAAGCAUUGGCGAAUUUUUCAGACUCGUCAUCUUAAAACAAAGACUCACUCUGUGCAACGCCAAUUCCGGAUAAGCUUACGAUUUCAAAUGUCUCUUUAUUAUAUAAAAAAAUCCUGGGACGAGACAUGACUUUCUCAGAGAGACACUUUCACGUCCCACGAGACGAGACUUUGUGCCAAGAGAUUUAACCAGGCCCGGGGCUGGAAAUAAAAAACAAAGAGUAGAUGACAAAGUAGAAUGUCAUAAAGAGGUUAAAAAAUGUUGGCGCGAUAUGCAUGCAGAGCAGGUUAGAAAUAAUGGAAGUACUAAAAUUUGAAAGUCUCAAACAAUGAUAGUAAAGAUCGCAUUAGCGCAAACAAACAGAAAUUAUUACUCGGUGAAAUAAUGGAACAGUAAAAUGAGAUUGAAUAUUUUGUUCGAAUUUAAACGUUAAAUCGCAGACUUGUAGAUCGUCUAAUUCGUGUUGCCAUCAGGGUAAAGUAGUGUUUCUCCCCAUUGAAGAGGCGUAUCUGCGAGAAUUAAAAGAUUUGUUGUUUGGUAGAAAGUGAAAUCCACAUACGCGAGUGGCAGAGAUGCGAAGUGGUUGGCGCAUAGUGCAGG